UACGUAGGGGGCAAGCGUUGUCCGGAUUUACUGGGCGUAAGAGCGUGUAGGCGGCCACGCAGGUCCGUUGUGAAAACUCGAGGCUCAACCUCGAGACGCCGGUGGAAACCAUCAGGCUAGAGUCCGGAAGAGGAGAGUGGAAUUCCUGGUGUAGCGGUGAAAUGCGCAGAUAUUGGGAGGAACACCAGUGGCGAAGGCGGCUCACUGGACCGGUUCUGACGCUGAGGCACGAAGGUCAGGGGAGCAAACGGG
rnacentral:rRNA from 1 species